UACAGAGGUCUCAAGCGUUGUUCGGAUUCAUUGGGCGUAAAGGGUGCGUAGGUGGCGCCGUAAGUCAGGUGUGAAAUCUCGGGGCUCAACCCCGAAACUGCAUUUGAUACUGCGGUGCUCGAGUACUGGAGAGGAGAUUGGAAUUUACGGUGUAGCGGUGAAAUGCGUAGAUAUCGUAAGGAAGACCAGUGGCGAAGGCGGGUCUCUGGACAGUUCCUGACGCUGAGGCACGAAGGUCAGGGGAGCAAACGGG
rnacentral:rRNA from 1 species